GUCAUGGACCCUUCUCGAUGCACACUGCACUCGGACACGCUCACAGAACACUACCUAAAAAAAGAAAAAACCCAUUCUCCUUUCAAACACAAACGCGCGCGCGCACACACACACACACACACACACACACACCUCACAGGACUGUUAUGAAAUGGAGUGUGUGCUCAGGUGUGAGAACGACAACCCGAAGAAGAGGGGAAAGAAAAAAAACAGGAGGAGCGACCUCAGAGAAAAGAGAUGCAGUCAAACGAGGGGAAAUAUGAAACCAACCACUGUUCCCUUUAUUCCUGAGCUGGAGCAACGUGCAUCAAACCAAAAAGAAAAAAACGCAAAAACACUUAAGUCACCACUGUUUCACUUCAAAGGGAAUGGCUGUUGUAACCACAAGGACCUUUUCUUUCCCUUACCGUUAUUC